UACGGAGGAGGCAAGCGUUAUCCGGAAUUAUUGGGCGUAAAGCGUCCGCAGGUGGCACUUCAAGUCUGCUGUCAAAGACCGGGGCUUAACCCCAGAAAGGCAGUGGAAACUGAAGUGCUAGAGUGCAGUAGGGGUAGAGGGAAUUCCCGGUGUAGCGGUGAAAUGCGUAGAGAUCGGGAAGAACAUCGGUGGCGAAAGCGCUCUGCUGGACUGCAACUGACACUCAGGGACGAAAGCUAGGGGAGCGAAAGGG
rnacentral:rRNA from 1 species